CACCCCAAGAUUCUUGUCGAGGGGAUCGUGGAUCUGGAUGCUGCCGUGUAAUGACGGCUCGUCCGAAAUGUAUGAGUGUAACCUGCAGAUCAGUGUUAUCUGACGUGAUAAGCAUCUUCGUCGGAGUCGAGGGAACCAACCUUGGCACUGUGUCCGUGGGCUCUAUGCUGCAAAUCGUCCUCGGACAAAUCUUUUGACAAUUUGGCCUCAGAUCGGGUGGGACUACCCGCUGAACUUAAGCAUAUCAAUAAGCGGAGGAAAAGAAACUAACAAGGAUUCCCCUAGUAACGGCGAGUGAAGAGGGAUGAGCUCAAAUUUUGAAUCUGGCGUCCCCGGGCGUCCGAGUUGUAAUCUAGAGAAGUGUUUUCCGCGUCGGACCGUGCACAAGUUCCCUGGAACGGGGCGUCAUAGAGGGUGAGAAUCCCGUAUAUGGCACGGAUUACCUUUGCUUCAUGUGAUACACUCUCGACGAGUCGAGUUGUUUGGGAAUGCAGCUCAAAAUGGGUGGUAAAUUCCAUCUAAAGCUAAAUAUUGGCGAGAGACCGAUAGCGAACAAGUACCGCGAGGGAAAGAUGAAAAGCACUUUGGAAAGAGAGUGAAACAGUACGUGAAAUUGUUGGAAGGGAAGCGUUUGAAGUCAGUCGCACCCCUCUGGACUCAGCCGUGGCUUCUGCUCGGUGUACUUCCUGUUGGGUGGGUCAGCGUCAGUUUGGACCAAGGGAGAAAGGUUGGAGGAAUGUGGCAGUCUUCGGGCUGUGUUAUAGCCUCCUACUGUAUGCCUUGGCCCGGACUGAGGACGGCAGCGCGCCUUUUUGGCCGGGGUUCGCGCCCUCGGUACGCGCUUAGGAUGCU
rnacentral:rRNA from 1 species